rnacentral:rRNA from 1 species
GAAAGCAUCUAAGCGCGAAGCAGGCCUCGAGAUGAGUUCUCACUAGACUUUUAAAGUCUCUGAAGGGCCGUUGAAGACUACAACGUUGAUAGGCAGGAUGUGGAAGUGGUGUGAGCCAUUAAGCUAACCUGUACUAAUUACCCGUGAGGCUUAACCAUACAACGCCAAACGCGUUU